UACGGAGGGUGCAAGCGUUAUCCGGAUUCACUGGGUUUAAAGGGUGCGUAGGCGGGUUGGUAAGUCCGUGGUGAAAUCUCCGAGCUUAACUCGGAAACUGCCGUGGAUACUAUCAAUCUUGAAUGUCGUGGAGGUAAGCGGAAUAUGUCAUGUAGCGGUGAAAUGCUUAGAGAUGACAUAGAACACCAAUUGCGUAGGCAGCUUACUACACGAAUAUUGACGCUGAGGCACGAAAGCGUGGGGAGCAAAC
rnacentral:rRNA from 1 species